UACGUAGGGGGCAAGCGUUGUCCGGAUUUAUUGGGCGUAAAGAGCGUGUAGGCGGCCUGACAGGUCUGCUGUGAAAACUCGAGGCUCAAACCUCGAGAUGUCGGCGGAAACCGUCUGGCUAGAGUCCGGAAGAGGAGAGUGGAAUUCCUGGUGUAGCGGUGAAAUGCGCAGAUAUCAGGAAGAACACCUAUGGCGAAGGCAGCUCUCUGGGACGGUACUGACGCUGAGACGCGAAAGCGUGGGGAGCGAACAG
rnacentral:rRNA from 1 species